rnacentral:rRNA from 1 species
UACGGGGGGGGCAAGCGUUGUUCGGAAUUACUGGGCGUAAAGGGCUCGUAGGCGGCCAACUAAGUCAGACGUGAAAUCCCUCGGCUUAACCGGGGAACUGCGUCUGAUACUGGAUGGCUUGAGUUCGGGAGAGGGAUGCGGAAUUCCAGGUGUAGCGGUGAAAUGCGCAGAUAUCAGGAGGAACACCGGUGGCGAAGGCGGAUCUCUGGGCCGAUACUGACGCUGAGGAGCGAAAGCGUGGGGAGCGAACAGG